CUAAGACUAUACAUGUAGAGGCUAUUAUGUUGUUUUUUAUAGGACCGGGGUUCGAUUCCCCGCACCUCCACCA
rnacentral:tmRNA from 1 species